ACUGGGGGUGGGAUAGAAUGCGAGUCGAGCGUCUCUAGCUAUGUUGAGACGCGGCAUACGGCUCAGUAACACGUGGCUAACCUACCCUCAGGACGGGGACAAACCCGGGAAACUGGGGCUAAUAUCCGAUAGGCGAGGAAUCCUGGAAUGGUUCUUCACCCAAAGGACAUUGGAAACAUGCUUUCUCUGUCGCCUGGGGAUGGGGCCGCGUCCGAUCAGGUUGUUGGUGAGGUAAUGGCUCACCAAGCCUUUAACCGGUACGGGCCGUGAGAGCGGUAGCCCGGAGAUGGGUACUGAGACAAGGACCCAGGCCCUACGGGGCGCAGCAGUCGCGAAAACUCCGCAAUGCACGAAAGUGUGACGGGGCUACCCCGAGUGCCGUCCGCUGAGGAUGGCUUUUCCUUGGUGUAACUAGCCGGGGGAAUAAGGAGAGGGCAAGACUGGUGUCAGCCGCCGCGGUAAUACCAGCUCUCCGAGUGGUAGGGAUGAUUAUUGGGCUUAAAGCGUCCGUAGCCGGCUUAGCAAGUUUCCUGUUAAAUUCAGCGACCUAAUCGUUGAGCCGCGGGAAAUACUACUAGGCUAGGAGGCGGGAGAGGUCGACGGUACUUCUGGGGUAGGGGUGAAAUCCUAUAAUCCCGGGAGGACCACCAGUGGCGAAGGCUGUCGACUAGAACGCGCUCGACGGUGAGGGACGAAAGCUGGGGGAGCGAACCGGAUUAGAUACCCGGGUAGUCCCAGCUGUAAACGAUGCGGGCUAGGUGUUGGGGUGGCUACGUGCCACUUCAGUGCCGCAGGGAAGCCAUUAAGCCCGCCGCCUGGGGAGUACGGCCGCAAGGCUGAAACUUAAAGGAAUUGGCGGGGGAGCACCACAAGGCGUGAAGCUUGCGGUUCAAUUGGAUUCAACGCCGGG
rnacentral:rRNA from 1 species